UCAGAACCGAGAGGACUCACCAACAGAAACCUGGGUCCACCAGGGAAAUGACAGAGUGCAAGGGGCUCUAGCAGGUGCUGCACUCAAAUCCAAUGGCAGCUCCAGAGUCGAGGAGGCAGUCACGUUGGAUCCGUCCGUCUUCUGACACCAAGUAAUGUCGACCGAGAAAUGGUUGAAUGGUCAACAUUUAAAGGUCUACCAACUGUUGUGAUUUAUUGCUAAGUGCCAUGCUGAUUCAUUUACAACCACCUUCUUCGAUAUGCCCCUGGAAAGCAGGUUGAUGUGCAGAACUCCUCGUCCAGUUCCCUGUCUCUAGGGCCUGGUAUCCCGAUGCAAGGACACUACAACCCAGUCCCCUCCCAGGGGCAAGAGUCGGCCUUUGAUUUUCUGGAUGGAAAAGAAGCUGCUGGACAAGGCCUGCCUGCAGACCAUUAUUCGGCCAUCCUCAGGGAACUGAAGAGCUGCAUCCCAGCCUCUGCUCUGGAGUAAAUGCCUGCAGAGGCCAGGCAGGUGGGUGAGGUCUGAGCCUGCCCUGAAAGCCCCACCCAAAGGGGCACAGCUGCCGUAGCUGAGGACAGUUGGAGUGAAGGACCACAGCAGCCUGAAUUCUGAAGGUUUCUUUUCCCCAGAGGCAGCAGGAAGCUCAGACUUUUAUGUGAAGUUUCCUUAUGUUUAAAGUUGGCUCAGAACUUCUUAAAACCUAUCAUGGAAAA